GGCUACAUACAUAAAGGCAGUCUUAAAAACCAAAGCCAAACAACAAAACAAAAAUUCGGUUCUUUGAAGAAAGUGACAGUGUACUGACAUACAUAGAAAUAAAUACAUAAAUCUUUAAAAAAACAAAAAACAAAGGAGAGGAAAAAGGAUCAUGAGUUUGAGAGCACUCUAGACUAUACAGUAAGACACUGGCAUUGUCAUAAACAAUCAGAGAGCAAAAGCGAAGAAAGAAAAAGAAAAAAAGAUUAGGGUCUAAUGGUCCUUUCCUUAGGAGUUAGGAGGGUUAAACCCAAAGCUCUGCUCCAUGGAGCCUGCUGACAGUAAAUAUGGCUGUUGUGACUGCUGUCUCAGGCGGCAUUCAGGUCUGGUUGCAGGCCCUUUUCCUUUGCCCUCCUGAGUGGUAGGUAGUCUGCUGUGCUGCCUUGGCUCAGGGAGGUCAGAGGUUACAGUUCCUCUGUGUGAUGGUAAAGAGUAGUUGGACCUUUCAUUAGCAUCCCUGGAAUAAGUCACUCUCGCCCCUCAAGCCUUGGUUUCUUAGCUGUCAGGUAGGAUGUUGCAAGAAAGUAGUGAGGUAUGCUGAGGAGCAGAUAACCCAGGUAGAAAGUGAACACGGUGUGGAGGGGCAGCUGUGUAAAUUCCUAAGCCCUGUGGCGUGGCUUUUUAUAGCUACGUGGCAAUGAUGGAGUCAGUUCAGUCCACUGUCUCUUAUGUCUUCCCAUCUGGGAUCUGAAAUGUGAUGGACAUUUCCUCUACCAGCUCUGUUUUUCAGGUUUUGGAAAGUUGCAGUAUGAUUAGAAAUCUCUUCCUGGGAUUUUACUUAGUGGUUUUUAUGUGCUGUGUUUAUAUUGACUUGCAAAAAUCUGGACCUACUCUGAAGCAAGCCACACCAGGAGGCUCAGCUGCUCUAGAGCCUUGCAUUUCAUAUGGUUCCUGUAGCUGUGAUCCUUCUUCAGCAUGCCUCUGACAGCACUUGAGAAGCUCAGGCAGAGGGGUUUUUAUGAGUUUGAGGGCUGCAUACUGAUUCAACCCUGCCCCCCCACCCCACCCCCCACGUAUGUGGAGAGACCAAAAAUAAAAGUGCAGAUGAAUGAUGAAUGUAGGCUGGCCUUUGGGUAUUUUCUAGCUAAUAGGUGCAGGGCUGAGUUUGGAUGGUUCUUAAGUGAUACUUGUGAAGGAAGGCUCUUCCAAAGGCAGGAGGUUAAGAUCGUGCCAGUCAGCAGAGAUGACAAUUGAUUCCAGUGGGAACUUCUACUGUGAUGAUUGUGUCAAAGGCUCAUGAAAGAUGCUGCGUGGGAAUUCUUUAAAGGCUUAAUUUUAGACAGAUGUGCCUAUCAUUUUAGUAUUUAGGAGGCCGAAGCAGAAGGGUCAUGAUCUCAUGGUGCACACCUUUAAUCCUCCCAGUGUUCAGGAGGCAGAGGCGGCCUAAUCUCUCAUUUGAGAUCAGUCUGCUCUACAUAGUGAGGCCAGCUAGGCCACAUUUAGAAACCCUGUUUCCAGACAGACAACAACACUGAUGAGGUUCCACUGAUGAGUGGACCCAAACCUGAUGGCUUGCAUUUGAUCCCCUGAUAUCCCGUGGUAGCAGAAAACCGGUUUCCUGAAAUUGUCCUCUGACCUCCGAGUGGGUCUUUACUCACUACCCCCACCCCCAACAUACACACACGUUGCUUAUUGUUUUUCCAGAUAGGGUCUUACCAUGUAGACUAUAUAGCCUUGGCUGUCCUGGAACUAGCUUGUUGUGCUCUGUAGACCUGAUCUACAGACCAGGCUGAUUUCAAACUGUCAGAGAGCAGUCUGUUUCUGUCUCUGUAAAUGAGUGCUAAGAUUAAAGGUGUGUUCCAUCACACUCAAUAACUUAAAAACAAAUAUUUGUUUCAUUUUGAGUGUGUGUGUGUGUGUGUGUGUGUGUGUGUGUGUACAUGGACGCAAGUGUCCUGAGGCCAGGGGCAUCUAUCUGGAGUUCCAGUUACAGGCCAUCAUGAGUGGCCUGAGGUGGGUGUUGGGUGCCAAACUCAGGGCCCUAGAAGAGCAGCAACUGAUCUU
rnacentral:lncRNA from 1 species